GUGGAUGAGGCAUGCAAGUCGAACGAGACUAUAGGGUAACUUGUAGUCUAGUGGCGGAAGGGUUAGUAAUACAUGAAUAACCUAUCUUUGACCUGGGGAUAACGGCUGGAAACGGCCGCUAAUACCGAAUGAAGCCGAUAGAUGGAAUCAUCAGUCGGUUAAGGUAGGGGCUCUCGAAAGGGACCUCGCGGUGAAUGAGGGGUUCAUGGGAUAUCAGCUAGUUGGUGUGGUAAUGGCGCACCAAGGCUAAGACGUCUAGGCGGAUUGAGAGAUUG
rnacentral:rRNA from 1 species